AUUUAAAUAGUUUAUUAAAAACAUUGAUUUGUGGAAUCAAAAAUAUAAAUUUUAUUAUUUUAAAUA
rnacentral:tRNA from 1 species